rnacentral:rRNA from 1 species
UACAUGUGGGGCAAGCGUUGUUCGGAAUUACUGGGCAUAAAGGGUGCGUAGGCGGUCUGUUAAGUCAGUGGUGAAAGUUUUCGGCCCAACCGGAAAAUUGCCGUUGAUACUGGCGGACUUGAGUGCGUGAGGGAUGGGGGGAACGAGCAGUGUAGCGGUGAAAUGCGUAGAUAUUGCUCGGAAGGCCAGAGCCGAAGGGGCCCCAUUGGUACGUAACUGACGCUGAGGCACGAAAGCGUGGGGAGCGAACAGG